rnacentral:rRNA from 1 species
AUUGAACGCUAGCGGCAGGCCUAACACAAGCAAGUUGAGCGAGCGGCGGACGGGUGAGUAAUGUAUGGGGACUGCCCGAUAGAGGGGGAUCACUACUGGAAACGGUGGAUAAUACCGCAUACUAUCGGAUAACCCAUAUGGGAUUAGCUAGUAGGUGGGGUACAGGCUCACCUAGGCGACGAUCUCUAGCUGGUCUGAGAGGCUGACCAGCCACACUGGGACUGGGGCACGGCCCAGACUCCUACGGAGGGAGCAGUGGGGAAUAUUGCACAAUGGGCGCAAUCCUGAUGCAGCCAUGCCGCGUGUAUGAAGAAGGCCUUAGGGUUGUAAAGUACUUUCAGCGGGGAGGCGUUACCCGCAGAAGAAGCACCGGCUAACUCCGUGCCAGCAGCCGCGGUAAUAC